CAGUCGCCGCGGGAAUACGAAGGGGGCUAGCGUUGUUCGGAAUUACUGGGCGUAAAGCGCACGUAGGCGGAUAUUUAAGUCAGGGGUGAAAUCCCAGAGCUCAACUCUGGAACUGCCUUUGAUACUGGGUAUCUUGAGUAUGGAAGAGGUGAGUGGAAUUCCGAGUGUAGAGGUGAAAUUCGUAGAUAUUCGGAGGGACACCAGUGGCGAAGGCGGCUCACUGGUCCAUUACUGACGCUGAGGUGCGAAAGCGUGGGGAGCAAACAGGAUUAGAUACCCCGGUAGUCCCUGUCUCUUAUAC
rnacentral:rRNA from 1 species